CUCCAAACUUAUCACAGGUUAUAUAUCAAGGCCAUGAUGAUAUAUCACGAUUCAGCAGUGAAUACCACCAGUCUUAGGAGAGAAAUCAGAGACCCGGGAAGAUCAAGUUGGAGCUUUGUUGCACAAUGCUUUCAAAGGCAAGUAUUUUGCAGAAGCUGAAAACAACAAGGUAACUUAAAUGAAAAGAUUUUCGUUAUUCAAAUUUAAUUAUUCCAACAGAUUUUGUGAUGAAUUUCUGCAAUUUUUAAGAAACAAAUUACAUAGCUAACUAAGAAUCUCAUGAGAUCUUUUCGGUCCCUAUCAAAGUGAAGAUAGUGCAACAUGGGGCUCCAUUGAUUUGUACUUAGAAGUAAGUUAGAUACUGUUUUUUCCUUUGAGAGUCUAAGCUUUCCAUUAAUUUGUAUCUUCAUUGCACUUUGCUUUGUGUUUCAUUUACUUGAACGAGCUAACCUGCUCUCUUUUCAUGGUAUUGCAAGUAAGAGAAGUAGACACACAUACUAAUUCAUUGUAUAUCCUAAACAGUAUAUUGAAAACCUGACCAUUGAGUAAACCUACUGCUAAUGUUACAACAACUGCGAUGUAACAUAACUGCAUUUACUUAGUAUGUUUUUGUUUAAUUUUGUUGCACUUAGGGCCUUUAUGAUUGCACUAUACAUACUAACCAAUUCAUUUAUGAUUUUCACGGGAAACUCCACAUUGCCUCACCAAAUCAGCCUUCUCCAUGAACCUGGAAGAAAAAUUAUUUCCCUUGGAUGUGUGACACACUUCCAGUUCUUUAAAGGAAGAACUCUAAUCCAAUGUUAUGGUGAAUUCAUGUGUUCUUUUUGAAGGCACCAUUAUUCCGGAAAGAGAUGGGUUACCAGAACUGCCAGGUUUGCUCAGUCAUGGUGUGAUGUGUCUGUUGUGAUGGUAACGGAAUCAUCAAGGGGAACCGAACCGAACAUCAUUUUGAUAUAAAAGGUGUGUGGGUUGCAGGUUAGGUUUUUGUUUAUUUUUCUUCUUUUUAAUUCAAUUAAGUUUGUAAUAUGCUACCACGCACGACAGUGUGUUGCAGCACUAUAAGCUAGCCAACAUCAGCCGUUGGAUCAAACAAUUCUAUGAUUUAGACCGUCGUACAUCAAUUUUUAUAUAAUAGGAAUGUAACCAAGUCUUUUUGAUAUUAUCUCAAUAUUUUAGUCAAAACAUUUUCUUAUUCUAUUCUUAUUGUAUAUUUGUUCUUCCUUCUGUGAUUUUUUGCAUUAACGUUUUUCCUCCGCAACUAAAAUCCAAAGAUUAUUUUCAUUAACCGAUGAAUAAGGAUAAAAAUUAGCAUAACUCUAGCAUAAUCAGAGUACAAAAGAGGCACCUCCAUAUAACAUCACACAAUUUUUUUUUUCUAAUUAUUUUAAGUCCUUCAAUUUCACAUGUAUGGUGUUGUUGAUGUACUUGCAGGUUGUGGUGCAUGAGCAAUUGUAAUUGAAAUUUCUAAAUGGGUUCUUAGCCGAGUAUUCUAGGAUGGGUUCUUAGCAGAGCCACCAUUAAUGAAGGUAGUGAAGAGAUAUAUUGCAAAUAUUUUUGAUUAGGUAUUGAAAAAUUUAUGAUUUAUGAUGUAAUUAUGAUUCAUGCUAUAAUAUACUC